rnacentral:snoRNA from 1 species
AUGACCUUACUUGAACAGGAUCUGUUCUACAGGUUUGUAACAUGUCUCCUUGUCUUCUAAGGAGAAGACACGAUCUGUU